AAUUGUUUUGAAAAGGUCGGCGGGGAAUUCCGUUAAAAUCGGAAACAGUCGCGCUGCGGUAAGAGGGAACGAAGCUUCAUCGUUCCGCCACAUGGCGGGGCGCUACAGCCAGUCGCGCGAGCGGCGAAGGCGAAGUCUAGGCAAGGGGCGCAAGGCCCCCAUGCCCUCAAGUCCGAAUAUCCUCCGGCAUUUUAUCCAACUUC
rnacentral:ncRNA from 1 species